rnacentral:sRNA from 2 species
UCUACUAUUUAUUCUUUAUUCUGUCUUCGCCUUCUCGUAAGACAGCUGCCCCAGCAGUAUGAUUAACUAAAAAUCAUAUAACGAAUAUAUUCGCGCAUCCAUAUUAAAGAUCCUAUACUACUUUGCUGUGAAUUGGUCCGUCUACAAUAUCAGUGAUAUAUGCUGACUGGCUACUUUGAUGCUGCAGUAGACGAAAAGAACAAUGCGAAUCACCACUUACAUUCUCAUUACUAAACAGAUUCUCAAAGUAUUAACUAAACCCAACUCGAGUUAUCAAAUUUAAAUAUCUUUAGCGAGGUGAGUGCUGACCAUACUAUCAACGCUAUUGUACCACGAAGAGAUGAAUCUUUGCCCAAGGUAGACCAAAAAAAUUCUCACGAACAUAGUCGCAUCAACAAUCCUAGUGGAAACUUCAAAAAUAAUCCUGCAGGGUACAUUUUGUGAUGGUGCAGAUGGGGUUUUCAAAGACGCAUUGCAAGUAGACCUUCACUUGAAUUGAGGGUUUGAUCGCUCAAUAUCUACCAUAGACUCAAUUCAGAGACUGGAAUUGAGUACACAUCUGAUGUAGCAAACUUUCCUCCCUAGCAACCACACACUCAGGCUGAGGGAUAAGUUUGGCAGGCAUCAAGAUAUUCAAAAAGUAAUUAAGGGACGACGUAUCUGUUCUUCCAAUGCCCAUGGAGCUUGCUCCGACUGCUGUUGAGCCUGCUGCGCGUCCCGUCGACGUCGCUUCCCAUCCUCUAAAAUCUGGGACAGCCUCUGAAUCUCGUCAUCGGCCAUUACUUAAAUG